AUGCGCUGCGUGGAUGUUUCCGGGGGAGUUCUCUGCCGAGUGCUGUGUGAGCCUGCAGUGGACGGAGGCAAUGAGGGGGUUACCAGAGUCAGCUGGGGAUUCAUGAUCAUCAUCAGUGAUGUUUCUCCACAGCGGGCUCAUCAGUACCUGGUGACAAAAGGUCAAUCCAGCUCUGACUUGAGGCUGUUCAAGAAUCCGCGCCACUUGAUCUGGUUCCCCCUCUACCACAGGCAGAGAAACACAGGCCUGGACUCUUUGUUGGCCAGACAAAAUCAGGAACGAAAUCAUUGGUUUUCACAACUGGGUCCAUUUCCACCUGCAAAGGAUAUAAGACCAGGGAGCAUGAUUUGUCGGCGAAUGGAGAAUCACACACAGUGGUCUGCAAAGAGAGCUUCAGGAUGCUUCCUCCCACUGUCCACUGCAUCGUCCAUCCACAGGGUUUGCAGGGCUGGCUCAAUCCAUGGCUGCCACACCACUAAGAUGUUUUCAGAAAUAUGCAAGCAGGAGAUGGUGGAUGCUAUAUUACUACUAGUACAAUACUUUUAA
rnacentral:lncRNA from 1 species